GGCGGGUUGGUGGAGUGGUCUAACACGUGCGACUCAAGUUCGCAUCUCGCAAGAGGCGUGGGUUCGAAUCCCACACCCGUCA
rnacentral:tRNA from 3 species